rnacentral:rRNA from 1 species
UAGUGUCGGAGAGAAGUUGUUAAGCAAGCUGCCUGGGAAGUACGGUCGCAAGACUGAAACUUAAAGGAAUUGGCGGGGAGCACAGCAACAGGUGGAGCGUGCGGUUUAAUUGGAUUCAACGCCGGAAAACUCACCGGAGGCGACGGUUACAUGAAGGCCAGGCUGAUGACCUUGCCAGAUUUUCCGAGAGGUGGUGCAUGGCCGCCGUCAGUUCGUACCGUAAGGCGUUNUGUUAAGUCAGACAACGAACGAGACCCUCAUCUUUAAUUGCAACUGGUAAGUCCGCUUAUCAGGCACAUUAGAGAAACCGCUGGCGAUAAGUCAGAGGAAGGCGAGGGCAACGGUAGGUCAGUAUGCCCUGAAUCCUCCGGGCUACACGCGCGCUACGAAGGCCAGGACAAUGGGCUUCAACACCGAGAGGUGAAGGUAAUCUCGAAACCUGGUCGUAGUUCGGAUUGAGGGUUGAAACUCACCCUCAUGAAGCUGGAAUCUGUAGUAAUCGCGGAUCAACAUCCCGCGGUGAAUAUGCCCCUGCUCCUUGCACACACCGCCCGUCAAACCAUGCGAG